AUAAUGGGUCAGCGACUUAUAUUCUGUAGCAAGGUUAACCGAAUAGGGGAGCCGGAGGGAAACCGAGUCUUAACUGGGCGUUAAGUUGCAGGGUAUAGACCCGAAACCCGGUGAUCUAGCCAUGGGCAGGUUGAAGGUUGGGUAACACUAACUGGAGGACCGAACCGACUAAUGUUGAAAAAUUAGCGGAUGACUUGUGGCUGGGGGUGAAAGGCCAAUCAAACCGGGAGAUAGCUGGUUCUCCCCGAAAGCUAUUUAGGUAGCGCCUCGUGAAUUCAUCUCCGGGGGUAGAGCACUGUUUCGGCAAGGGGGUCAUCCCGACUUACCAACCCGAUGCAAACUGCGAAUACCGGAGAAUGUUAUCACGGGAGACACACGGCGGGUGCUAACGUCCGUCGUGAAGAGGGAAACAACCCAGACCGCCAGCUAAGGUCCCAAAGUCAUGGUUAAGUGGGAAACGAUGUGGGAAGGCCCAGACAGCCAGGAUGUUGGCUUAGAAGCAGCCAUCAUUUAAAGAAAGCGUAAUAGCUCACUGGUCGAGUCGGCCUGCGCGGAAGAUGUAACGGGGCUAAACCAUGCACCGAAGCUGCGGCAGCGACGCUGAUGCGUUGUUGGGUAGGGGAGCGU
rnacentral:rRNA from 1 species